rnacentral:misc_RNA from 1 species
AGUCUAAGCUGAUUAUAAUCUUUUUGGUCAUUCGGGGCUCGGUCGGGGGCAUUCCUGACCGUUAUGAGUUAUGACGACAGGUAUAUGCAUAACUGUAAUACCUUGCUGCGAUGUCAACAAUCAAUCUAAAUCGUAAUGGCGAGCUGCGAUGUAAAAAAUCAUCAUAAUUCGCAUGGCAUCUCACGAUAUCGAAUCAGAAAUAGAGAUUCACCCGGAAAUAAAUGAAGUUGUGAUAGAUGAUAUUCCUGUAGAAAUGCCAGUUGAAACUGUAGAAACCACUGUUGAGUGUGUUGAUGGGCAUCCUAUAAUAUCAUUACAAACAUUGGAUUCAAAUAGCCCAGAAAUUAUAUUACAAACUCAAGAAGAAAUAGUAGUUGAUGUGGAUGAUUCCGAAAUGCUUGCAUCUUACAAUAAUUUAACAAUACCACAUGAAGUCCUUUUUGAAACGAAUCCAGGAACUUCUAAGCGAACUAAAAAAAAUAAAAAAAGUAGCAAAGUGAAAAUUGAAAAUGAACUUUCCUAUGAAAUGGAAAGAAGUUCUCGAAAGUGGGAACAAAAACAAGUUCAAAUAAAAACUCUUGAAGGUGAAUUUUCUGUCACUAUGUGGGCGUCGGGAAUAGAUGAGGAUGAAGCAACUGUUCCUGAGCCUGAUCCAGAUUAUACGGAAUAUAUGACUGGUAAAAAGAUAUCAGCUGAUGAUCUUCCUGGUGUGGAUCUCAGUGAUCCCAAGCAAUUAGCAGAAUUUACCAAAAUGAAGCCUAGAAAAUUAUCUGAUGAUCUGUCCAGAACAAUUGCCUGCCCUCAUAAGGGUUGCAUUAAAAUGUUUCGUGAUAAUUCCGCUAUGCGGAAACAUCUUCAUACACAUGGACCCAGAGUUCAUGUAUGUGCUGAAUGCGGGAAAGCUUUUGUUGAAAGUUCUAAAUUGAAAAGGCAUCAAUUAGUUCAUACUGGUGAAAAGCCUUUUCAAUGUACUUUUGAAGGAUGUGGAAAACGUUUUUCCUUAGAUUUUAAUCUUCGCACACAUGUAAGAAUUCAUACAGGUGAUCGUCCUUAUGUAUGUCCUUUUGAUGGUUGUAAUAAAAAGUUUGCACAGUCAACUAAUCUUAAAUCUCACAUAUUUACUCAUUCAAAAGCAAAGUACAGAAAGUGAGAGUGUCCAUAUUAACCAACAUUAUCCUCAUCAAACACCGUUGUUACAUUAAGUCUUCUUGACCAAAUGGACUCUCUUAAAAAUUAUGUAUAAUGACAAAUAUAAUUUGCCUGCAGUUAAAUUUUAUGUUGCAGGAAUCAAUACAUAAUUUUACAUUUUUAAAUUUCUAUUAUGAAUUUAUAUUAAAUCACUUACACAUUAUUUUCAAAACAUAUGCAGUCACUGAUUUUUGCUGUUUUUAGCAAGAUGUUCAUAUUUCAUGAUUUGCAUCUCAUUAAUUUUGUUCAGUUUUUUGUAACAAUCAUUAAGUUAAAGGAAAUCAAUGUGAUUGAAAAUCUGUUGACUCAAUUGAAAAUAUAUUGAAUCAACUUGAGGGUCCUUUUGGUUGAACAACUUAAAGUAUUGUUCUUGCUUCCACCAGUUAUUUAUAUUUCAUCAAGAUUCAACACUGGUUUGGAACUUAUAUGUGAUAACAUUUUCAGACAAGUCUGAAAAGAUGUAAUAUUUCGUUUUCAUGAAGUUUUCAUAAAUAUUUCUUAUCAUCAGACUCUAUUGUUUCUACUUUCUUAUAGAUUAUUGCCUUUUAAAGAGAAAGUUGUAUUUUUUCCUUAAUAAAUUUUUAUUUAAACUUG